UACUUUUCUUUAAAAUCACUUAGGCAUCCCAACAAUUACAAAAUUCAUCGAUUCCUACAUCAAACUUGGGGGUUAUAUCAUCCUUUUUCAAAUUGCAAACAGAGAUUUAAAAUCACAUGGACAAUUCACAGUAAAGAAUUUCAUUCGGUACAUAAAAAAUAUCAUCCAAGUUGUGCAUUGUAAAUAUAAGCUCAUAUAGUGCAGAAAAAAUAUUUCUUUUUAUCGUGUUUCACAACAUUACAG
rnacentral:lncRNA from 1 species